rnacentral:rRNA from 1 species
GCUCAGAUUGAACGCUGGCGGCAGGCCUAACACAUGCAAGUCGAGCGGUAGAGAGGUGCUUGCACCUCUUGAGAGCGGCGGACGGGUGAGUAAAGCCUAGGAAUCUGCCUGGUAGUGGGGGAUAACGCUCGGAAACGGACGCUAAUACCGCAUACGUCCUACGGGAGAAAGCAGGGGACCUUCGGGCCUUGCGCUAUCAGAUGAGCCUAGGUCGGAUUAGCUAGUUGGUGAGGUAAUGGCUCACCAAGGCGACGAUCCGUAACUGGUCUGAGAGGAUGAUCAGUCACACUGGAACUGAGACACGGUCCAGACUCCUACGGGAGGCAGCAGUGGGGAAUAUUGGACAAUGGGCGAAAGCCUGAUCCAGCCAUGCCGCGUGUGUGAAGAAGGUCUUCGGAUUGUAAAGCACUUUAAGUUGGGAGGAAGGGCAUUAACCUAAUACGUUAGUGUUUGACGUACCGACA